rnacentral:rRNA from 1 species
UACGGAGGAUCCGAGCGUUAUCCGGAUUUAUUGGGUUUAAAGGGUGCGUAGGUGGGUUUGUAAGUCAGUGGUGAAAUCUCCAAGCUUAACUUGGAAACUGCCGUUGAUACUAUAAAUCUUGAAUGUUGUGGAGGUGAGCGGAAUAUGUCAUGUAGCGGUGAAAUGCUUAGAUAUGACAUAGAACACCAAUUGCGAAGGCAGCUCACUACACAAAGAUUGACACUGAGGCACGAAAGCGUGGGGAUCAAACAGG